rnacentral:rRNA from 1 species
CGUGUAGGCGGUUGGGUAAGUCAGAUGUGAAAGCCCUGGGCUCAACCCAGGAAGUGCAUUUGAAACUAUUCAACUUGAGUACGGGAGAGGAAGGGGGAAUUCCCGGUGUAGAGGUGAAAUUCGUAGAUAUCGGGAGGAAUACCGGUGGCGAAGGCGCCCUUCUGGACUGAUACUGACGCUGAGACGCGAAAGCGUGGGGAGCAAACA